GCCCUGGUAGCUCAGUGGAUAGAGCAACCCCCUCCUAAGGGGUUGGUCGGACGUUCGAUUCGUCUUCCGGGCGCCA
rnacentral:tRNA from 1 species